GUCACUCUCGAGAAAUUCCCAACCCCGUCCUACUGCAACUGCACACUAGGAUCCCUGGUGCCGGAGUGGUGACGCGCUGAGCUGUUCAACACAAGGGAACCGUCCUCUCUGCGGAAUGGGCAGAGGUCUCACAGCCAGGACCCCAGGCAGACCGCAAACCAUGGCUCCUGAGGCCGGACAAGACCCCGGGCCUCUGUCCAGUUCCCGCCGAGAGUAGGGCUGAAGGCCCUGGCCCUGCUCUCGAACCCUGCGGGAAAGCCGACAGCAACAAAGACAAGCACUCUACUGCCACUUGCUCCCACUCCUGGUGACUCCAUGUGGACACAGCAGACCUCCUGGGGCCUUCUGGAAGGAGGCCAGGCCAGGCCUUUCUUCCAGGGCACCUAUGGGUGCACUUGAACAUCCUCCUCAGUGGGGGAUAAAACCCCCUCUGAAAUGUUCUCAGGGCGAGCUCAGGGGGUGUCCCGAGUCAUCUUUUCUGAUACUGCGUGUCUCCCUUGCUCAUCUGAACAUUCGUGGUCCAGAGCAAAGCAUCACCUGGGACCCCACAGCUCAGAGAAGUCUCUCUCUGCAGCCCCCGCUACUCUGGGUGCCCCGCCAUUCCUGGACUACAGGCCACGACACCUCUGGGGGCAAUGGACAGGCUCCUGUAGGCAGAC